UCUCCAAUCAUGUGAUGCUUGGACUAAAAAUAACACGUGCAUUUUUCAGUUCUGAACUCAGUAAAUGGCACAACGUGAGUCGAGUUUGAGAAAAACAGAGCCUAGUACAGAGGAUGAAUGAAGAAACCAACUCAUCCUGGUCAUUCAGGAAUGUGAAAAUUUCCCCCGUGGCUCCCAGGUCCACAGACUGAGGCUUCCUUGCACAGCCGAGGGCAUGAGGAUCCUGGGGUUAAUACACCAGCCAGAAUAAGCCUGUGGGAUUUAAGCCUGAAGCUUCUAUGAGGAGGUAAGCUGCCUUCAAAGAUCUUAGCCCUUUUGGUAUCUUUUACUUUUUUCCAGCAGAGAACUCAUACUUGGUACUGCUACAAAUUCAUAUUUGUUAGUUUGACACAAUGUGUCCUGAAUUCAUCUAAGGAAACUGUCCUUUAAUGUUAAUACUCUUUCCCUUUUUAGCGCAUUCAUCAUCCAUUGUAACAUCUCAGUCUCAACAAAGUCGACUCAUUUUCUAGGGAAAUUUUCUCUUUGAUGGCCACUGUUGACGAUGGAUUAAUCCACUCACAUGAUCUGUGCUGGACUUUCCCCCGGUGGCUCAGGUGGCAAAGAAUCUGCCUACUGUGGGUGGCGGGGAGUGGGUAGGCUGUGCAGGGGGACCCUGGUUUGAUCCCUGGGUUGGGAAGAUCUCUUGGAGAAGGGAGU